UCCUUUCUCAUUCUUCUUCUCUUAUUUUCCUUUCUUUUUCUUUUCCUUUUUUUUUUCUUUCCAUUUCUUCAUCGACUCCACCACCACCAAGUUGUCAUCGGCGGUGCUACUACUCGCACCACUUCCAAUCGUCAUCCCCCUCACUCUCCGACUAUAUAUUCCCUAUUUUUAUCUCUUUUAAGUUUUUAUUUUAUUAUUUUAUUUUAUUUAUUUAUUUUUACCUUUUUUUUUCUUCUUCUUUUAUUUUCUUUUAUGCACUGCCACAAACGUGCCCAUGUCUUCAUUAUCACUCCCCAUGACCAUCGAUUGUUGCAUCUCUAUUCGUGGGUUAGGAGAUAGAGCGGGAAUAGAGGUGUAGCGUUAGUUGGAGCAAUUGGAGGCAAGGCAUGAGCAUGGACAGAAAGUUGGUGAACCUGAUUUGGGGAUAAAGGGACCAUCUUGCAACCAAAGAAAGGGAGGAGGGAAGGACGGUUAAGGAGGACGACUCUUUGGAUUUUUCUAGAAAAACUCUAUUUGUAUUUCUUUGCUUUUUUUUUUUUAUUUUAUUUUUAUUUUUUUAUUUUUUUUUAUGAGAGGUUUGACAUGUUUGUGGGUAUUUCUAAGCUUUGUUGAUGAAGCUGUGGAGAGCCAUUAGAUUUGGGUUGCACUGAAAAUAAUAUCCUUUUAAUUUCUCAAA